rnacentral:rRNA from 1 species
AUUGAACGCUGGCGGCAGGCCUAACACAUGCAAGUCGAACGAGUGGCGGACGGGUGAGUAACGUCUUGGAAACUGCCUGAUGGAGGGGGAUAACUACUGGAAACGGUCGCUAAUACCGCAUACCAUCAGAUGUGCCCAGAUGGGAUUGGCUUGUUGGUGGGGUAACGGCUCACCAAGGCGACGCUCCCUAGCUGGUCUGAGGGGAUGACCAGCCACACUGGAACUGGGACACGGUCCAGACCCCUAGGGGGGGCAGCAGUGGGGAAUUUGGCACAAUGGGCGCAAGCCUGAUGCAGCCAGGCCGCGGGGAUGAAGAAGGCCUUCGGGUUGUAAAGUACUUUCAGCGGGGAGGCGUUACCCGCAGAAGAAGCACCGGCUAACUCCGUGCCAGCAGCCGCGGUAAUAC